GGGCCGCUAGCUCAACGGCAGAGCACUCGGCUCAUAACCGACGGGUUCUGGGUUCGAAUCCCGGGCGGCCCA
rnacentral:tRNA from 1 species